UGAGGAAGUGCUUUUUUUGGGUCUUCAGAGCUCUCUGCCAGUUGAGGGGCUGUGUCCUUAGGUCCCUGGGCUGCAGUGGUGGCUCCUCUCACUGACUACUCGUGUCCACCCUCAGCCCUGGCCUCAGGGGCUGGUCUUCUGUGUGGUCCCCACCAUAGAUGAGUCCUGAAGCCAGCCCGCUUGGGGCCUCCUCCCUGAAUCCAUGCCUGGACCUCGGGCAGCUCGCAGCAUCCUGGCCUUACAUCCCCUACGGCCCCAUGUCCUGGCCUGUACAGCCCACCACAGCCCUGUGAACCCUGAGCUCGCCAGUUUCUGCCUUCAGGUGCUUCAGUCAGGUGUCAGAAACUCAACCCUGCAGCCCUCAAGCCCCAGAGAUGAUGCCCUACACCUCUCAGCUCAACAUGGGGAGAGAAGACACAGGCAAAAGGCAGAGCAACUGUGCUUGUGCACAAAGGCCUCUCUUGUGGACUCUGAACCCCAAGUGAAUUCUUGGAGCAGAGACACCUGGCCUGGAUCCAGUCUGCCAGCACCUAUCAGGCGUCCUCCCUGUGGCAGGAGGGAGAGAGGCAACUGUGAAAACGAUGUCGAGGAACACUUAAGACCCAUCACAGGCAGGACUCGGGAGGCGUGCAGAGGAAGAGAGCAGUUUUCCACAGUCGACUGAGUCUUCAGAAUGCUUGUCCUCAAAUGUCCUGCCAAGAUAGACUGUUGGUAUGGACAUAACAUAGCCUUAAAACACAGUGACAAGACAGCCCUGGAGGAAGGGUGUGCCAGCGUAUGUGGGU
rnacentral:lncRNA from 1 species